UGUCGAAUGCGGAUUAUUGAAGAAUCACUUAUAAUCUAUUUAUAGGAUUUUGAUUUUACUUGAUUUCUUAAGCUUCCUAGUGUACCUCUCUCUGUAAAAGGUUUUACAUGAUAACUUAUUUUAUUGAACAAAUAGUUUAUAAGGCAAAUGAUACUGCUGAUAUUAUUGUCGAUUACAACAAGCUAAAUUUAGAAUUCCAAUAUAAU
rnacentral:lncRNA from 1 species